rnacentral:snRNA from 1 species
GGGUGUGGCCUUCAAUACUUGUCACCCCACUGACCAUCAGGGUUGAUUCGGCUGAUCUGGUUGGCUUCCUCUUUCUCCCUCACUGCUCCACCUGUGCUCCCCUGGAAGCUGUAACCUUUCUGGAAGAGAGGAAGCCUAGCCUUCAGAAAUGGUAUAAAAGUAGCUGCGCUCUCCUGCUGGAGCCUCCAAACAAGUUCUCAAGAAUGAUUUGGUGGAGUUAAAGUGGGAGGCAAAGAGAAGAACUGAAGAAAACCCGGCUUCCUCUACUUCUUAGGGUUAAGAUAUGAC